UACGAAGGGGGCUAGCGUUGUUCGGAAUCACUGGGCGUAAAGCGCACGUAGGCGGAUCUUUAAGUCAGGGGUGAAAUCCCGGAGCUCAACUCCGGAACUGCCUUUGAUACUGGGGAUCUUGAGUUCGAGAGAGGUGAGUGGAACUGCGAGUGUAGAGGUGAAAUUCGUAGAUAUUCGCAAGAACACCAGUGGCGAAGGCGGCUCACUGGCUCGAUACUGACGCUGAGGUGCGAAAGCGUGGGGAGCAAACAGG
rnacentral:rRNA from 1 species